rnacentral:rRNA from 1 species
AGUGGCGGACGGGUGAGUAACGCGUGGGUAACCUGCCCUGCAGUGGGGGACAACAGCCGGAAACGGCUGCUAAUACCGCAUGAUAUCGUGAGGUCGCAUGACCUCACGGUCGAAGAUUUAUCGCUGUAGGAUGGACCCGCGUCUGAUUAGCUAGUUGGUAAGGUAAGGGCUUACCAAGGCAACGAUCAGUAGCCGGCUUGAGAGAGUGACCGGCCACAUUGGGACUGAGACACGGCCCAAACUCCUACGGGAGGCAGCAGUGGGGAAUAUUGCACAAUGGGGGAAACCCUGAUGCAGCGACGCCGCGUGAGUGAAGAAGUAUUUCGGUAUGUAAAGCUCUAUCAGCACGGAGGAAAACGGGUUUCGGCCCGUAUGACGGUACCUGACUAAGAAGCCCCGGCUAACUACGUGUCAUCAGCCGCGGUAAUACGUAGGGGGCAAGCGUUAUCCGGAUUUACUGGGUGUAAAGGGAGCGUAGACGGUCUAAUAAGUCAGAUGUGAAACCCCGGGGCUCAACCCCGGACGUGCAUUUGAAACUGUCGGACUGGAGUGCAGGAGAGGUAAGUGGAAUUCCUAGUGUAGCGGUGAAAUGCGUAGAUAUUAGGAGGAACACCAGUGGCGAAAGCGGCUUACUGGACUGUAACUGACGUUGAGGCUCGAAAGCGUGGGGAGCAACAGGAUUAGAUACCCUGGUAGUCUACGCCGUAACGAUGAGUACUACGGUGUCGGGGUACCGAGGGACUAUCGGUGCCGCAGCAACGCAUAAGUAUUC